UCGUACCCAAACAAUAUUUAUUCCGAGCAAUUUUUCUGCCCUUUGUUUAAUUAAAAUCAUAUGUUACUAAUUAUUUGUGCUGAUGGCUUGGUAACAAUUAGGUCACCUGUUUGUCAGACGAUAACAAAAGUAAUUAAAAAUAAUUGUAGUUUUUUGGUAUAAUUCAUUAAAAGACAUAUUUAUUUUACUUACUUAAUUUCUAAAAAAUUAAUUACAAUGCGUAGGUAUAUAAAAAGCAAGGCAUCAUAUGAAUAUGUACAUUUACUACAGAACUGUGAAUGAUGAUGGACGUCUCAAAGAUAUUCUUUAUUUUACUGUUAGUAGCAUGGAGCGUACAGGGCGAUGCUGAAGGUAUCGCCUCUAAGACUGGAGGGCAAGAGCCCGACACCCGAGUGGUGGGUGGCAAAGACGCACCCGAAGACCUUGUGCCACACCAAGUCGCUCU